UAAUACGGAGGAUCCAAGCGUUAUCCGGAUUUAUUGGGUUUAAAGGGUGCGUAGGCGGAUUAGUAAGUUAGUGGUGAAAGACUGUGGCUCAACCAUAGAACUGCCAUUAAUACUGCUAGUCCUGAGUACAUUUGAAGUGGGCGGAAUACGACAUGUAGCGGUGAAAUGCAUAGAUAUGUCGUGGAACACCGAUUGCGAAGGCAGCUCACUAAGCUAUCACUGACGCUGAGGCACGAAAGCGUGGGGAGCGAACAGGAUUAGAUACCCUGGUAGUCCACGCCGUAAACGAUGAUCACUCGUUGUUGGCAAUACAUCGUCAGCGACUGAGCGAAAGCAUUAAGUGAUCCACCUGGGGAGUACGAUCGCAAGAUUG
rnacentral:rRNA from 1 species